UUUCCCUCCCGCACUGUUUAGUCCGGGGUCUGGGGACCGUCUCUACACGCACUACAACACUCUCCACGACACCUGAUCGCCGCCACUGUUACCCCUUUAGUCUGGAACACAACAAGGACUCAAUAUCCUUCAACACUGCAGUUGGACAGUUUAAGGCAGAGCAGCAAAAUAUGUCACAAGGCUCCUGGUGGCUGAUUCAGGACUCAUGGCCUUAGACCAACAGAUGGAGUCCAUCUUCUAACAGAACCUGGAACCAGCAGUCUCUUUGCUUGGUGUUUUGCUCUGACUUGUACCAAGAUGAAUAUGUUGCAAAUUUACCAAUCUCAGAAAGAAAAAGGUACUUGUAGGGACAUUACCGGAACUGUGACAAGUUUCACUUGCCUAAGCAAUUGUAUCUGCCCAGCAGGAACAUGGUAAACACUGGGUUUUAGUUUUCAAGGAAAAGGAAACUCUAAAAUUUUACAGUUUUCCCAAUGAAACACUGGAGAUCAAGAAGCAUGCUUGAUUUGUCCAAGUAACUUGGUAUCAUCACUUCUUUUUAAAUUGUUAUGUAGCAUAAGUCUCCCCGUUUGCCCCUAUGGCAUCUCUUCACUGUCCCUUCCUUUCCAUUCCCAUUCCUGGGGUGUUUUCUUGCCUCUGUUGCUACUGGCCUAUCUGUAUCCAGUCAAAACCAUCUUCUACAUAGCCACCCGAGGGGUUUUCCUAAACAGAAAUUGUGUUAUGUCAUUCCACUUUGUAAAAUCCUUCAACCUUUAAGUCCUAGCUCUUUAAAUGGCAAUCAAGGGCCUGGUCCUUUGAGAAAGUAAAAAGCAUCACUGGCAGCUAGCUAUUCCCAACUGAAGCCAAGCUGUGCUCACAGGGCAAGGAUGAGACAACUUCACUUCGCGACCAUAUCUGAAACAGAGACGAGGAUACUCUGCAACUACAAAAUGACUAUCCUAUCUCCCUCUCCCCGCUAAGAUGGAAGACUUCACUGUGGAUGAUAUUAGUCCCAUUUUAUCCUUCUAUCUCCUGGAUAAAAUGAUUAAACAUCCAAUUACCAAAUCACCCCUGCUUGUAAUGGCCCUCAAUACAGAACAGGCCUAUAUUUUCUUGGAUGCUGUUUAGAAUCACCCAGCAAGAUCCCAAAUCCUGUAAUGAGCCCUUCCUAACUCUCCAUUACAGAGCUAUUCCAUGGACCUUCUGCUGAUCAUUCUCUGUUGCUACAAUGAGCUAAAUAAAUUUGUCCUUUU